rnacentral:rRNA from 1 species
UAACGCGUGGGUAACCUGCCUUGUACUGGGGGACAACAGUUGGAAACGACUGCUAAUACCGCAUAAGCGCACAGCUUCGCAUGAAGCAGUGUGAAAAACUCCGGUGGUACAAGAUGGACCCGCGUCUGAUUAGCUGGUUGGUGAGGUAACGGCCCACCAAGGCGACGAUCAGUAGCCGGCCUGAGAGGGUGAACGGCCACAUUGGGACUGAGACACGGCCCAAACUCCUACGGGAGGCAGCAGUGGGGAAUAUUGCACAAUGGGGGAAACCCUGAUGCAGCAACGCCGCGUGAGUGAAGAAGUAUUUCGGUAUGUAAAGCUCUAUCAGCAGGAAAGAAAAUGACGGUACCUGACUAAGAAGCCCCGGCUAACUACGUGCCAGCAGCCGCGGUAAUACGUAGGGGGCAAGCGUUAUCCGGAUUUACUGGGCGUAAAGGGAGCGUAGACGGUUUUGCAAGUCUGAAGUGAAAGCCCGGGGCUUAACCCCGGGACUGCUUUGGAAACUGUAGAACUAGAGUGCAGGAGAGGUAAGUGGAAUUCCUAGUGUAGCGGUGAAAUGCGUAGAUAUUAGGAGGAACACCAGUGGCGAAGGCGGCUUACUGGACUGUAACUGACGUUGAGGCUCGAAAGCGUGGGGAGCAAACAGGAUUAGAUACCCUGGUAGUCCACGCCGUAAACGAUGAUUACUAGGUGU